rnacentral:misc_RNA from 1 species
CCAGCGCUGCAACAGCGCGCCAUAAGGCGCAGCUUUGCUGCGACUGACGGCGCGCGGAGUUACGGGGCCUUAGCUCAGCUGGGAGAGCGGUUGCUUUGCAAGCAUCAGGUCAUCGGUUCGAUCCCGAUAGGCUCCACCACUCCCGAGACAACCUAGAGAUGAAGACACCAGUUCCGCUGCGCGAGCAGCGGUUACGAGGUGCGUAAACGCACCUCAUCUUUGACAUUGUGAAUGGGUUUUUAAAAUCGAUGCCGUGAAGGUGUCGGCUUUGAAGGUGAGGCGAGGCCGUAAGGCCAAGUCAAACGGACAGGCUGACAAUUCACAAUAUCUGGCUGAGUAUUUAAUGACCACACCAAGAAAGCUACCCAAUGCUGCUCUGCCGAGUCGGCUUUGUCGAGAGACAAGCCCAGCGUUGAUGGUGGUGGUGUGGGCUCUCAAGCGUGAGGUAAGGGCAAUUCGUGGAUGCCUUGGCAUGUACAGGCGAUGAAGGACGUGGCACGCUGCGAUAAGCGUCGGUGAGGUGUGAGCAACCUUUGACCCGACGAUUUCCGAAUGGGGAAACCCACCUAUCCGAUUAAUCUCGACCGUUGUCCCACAAGGACGGCGAGCGGGGUUAGUUGGUUCAGGUAUC